CACACACACAGGGUGUGUGUCUGCGUACGAUCGCAGGAGAAGGGGGAAAAGGGGGUGUAAACCCUAACCACAAAAAAAUCAUCAAUUGAAAAGGAAAUCGCGGGUUGAUUGUGUGCAUGAACCAAGAAUGAUGAUCCCUUAAGCGUUUCUCACAUCAAGAACGUGUCAAGGAGAGGUCAAGCAUAGGAGGAUAACGGGUCAAGAUAAGGCAAGGUGACAAAAACACUUAUUGGAGUACUCGAGGUAAGUGAAUUUCGAUUCACUUUUUAGUAGGUUUAAUAGAUUUUAAUACUUAUGUUUACGAAACAUCAUGAAAGAACAUGUAAUAAUCAGAAGUACAAAGCCAAUAAUGCCUCAUUAUUGAAGAAGGUUGUAUUUAAGCCGAAAGUAAAUUGGUGGGUUUAAACGGGUCGAAUUUUAUGUGCAUAUGUUGCGUAAUGUAAUGAAAUUCGUUAUGGUUAAGACCUUGGGUAAGAAUUUUAGUCAUUAUGUAAGGGGAACAUUUCCCGGACCAUUAGGAACAAGUUUUAUAUGAUUCGGUUGUCGGUUAGUGAAUGAACGGGUUGUUUCGUGUUAGUGUAGGAAAUUUUGUAAGUAUAUGUGUAUAGGAAUCCAAAGGCCACGUGGGUUGAAUCAUAGAUUGUCUAUACUAUGUAAAGUUGUGAAUGUGACAUUCCGGCAUAAACCUACAUGUAAAAGAAGCUUGUGUAUAUAUUCGUGAUUAAUUGAUUGUGCGUAGGAAGGAACAUUGGCAUGUAUGAAGGUACGCAUAUAUAUAUAUAAGUAUAUAUAUAUAUAUAUGUAUGCAUGUAUGAUAAUAAGUACGUAGGUGUGAAUGUAUGUGUGAAUGAAUGUUCAAUGCUUAAGACAUAUGCAUGAACGUAUCAAAGUGUUCGAGUAUUUAUGGAUACUAAUGAUGUGCGUUGAGUUGGAAUGUAAUGUAGGUAUGGGAUCGUUGGCUUCAUGAAGAAAUGGAGCUGGAUUUGGAUAAGAGUAUCGCUUGGGUUUUCUCUACAUUUAUUGAAGUGAAGCGGACUUAGUUCGAGUUGAGAGCAAGGAUUGUACGGGGUAGAAUGGUCACAUAGUGUAACUCAUAUAGGUUUUGAAGUAUUAAUGUUAUAAAACGUUAUAAAUCCGUUUUAAUGAAUAUAUGGCAUUUCGCAUUUGAACCUUCAUGUGUUUGAUAUGUCUAUUAAAGAACGAAAUUUUUGGGC